AUUGAACGCUGGCGGCAGGCUUAACACAUGCAAGUCGAGCGGGGUGAUGGUGCUUGCACUAUCACUUAGCGGCGGACGGGUGAGUAAUGCUUAGGAAUCUGCCUAUUAGAGGGGGACAACAUCUCGAAAGGGAUGCUAAUACCGCAUACGUCCUACGGGAGAAAGCAGGGGAUCACUUGUGACCUUGCGCUAAUAGAUGAGCCUAAGUCGGGUUAGCUAGUUGGUGGGGUAAAGGCCUACCAAGGCGACGAUCUGUAGCGGGUCUGAGAGGAAGUUCCGCCACAGUGGGACUGAGACACGGCCCAGGCUCCUACGGGAGGCAGCAGUGGGGAACAUUGGACAAUGGGGGGAACCCUGAUCCAGCCAUGCGGCGUGUGUGAAGAAGGCCUUAUGGUUGUAAAGCACUUUAAGCGAGGAGGGGGCUCUUUUGGUUAAUACCCAAGAUGAGUGGACGUUACUCGCAGAAUAAGCACCUUCUAACUCUGUGCCAGCCGCCGCCGUAA
rnacentral:rRNA from 1 species